rnacentral:rRNA from 1 species
GCACAAGCGGUGGAGCAUGUGGUUUAAUUCGAUGCAACGCGAAGAACCUUACCUGGGCUUGACAUCCCGGGAAUCCCUUGGAAACAAGGGAGUGCCCUUCGGGGAACCUGGAGACAGGUGCUGCAUGGCUGUCGUCAGCUCGUGUCGUGAGAUGUUGGGUUAAGUCCCGCAACGAGCGCAACCCUUGUCUUUAAUUGCCAGCAUUCAGUUGGGCACUUUAAAGAGACUGCCGGUGUUAAGCCGGAGGAAGGUGGGAUGACGUCAAGUCCUCAUGGCCUUUAUGCCCAGGGCUACACACGUGCUACAAUGGGUGGUACAAAGAGGUGCCAACUCGCGAGAGCGCGCCAAUCUCAGAAAGCCAUCCUCAGUUCGGAUUGGAGUCUGCAACUCGACUCCAUGAAGUUGGAAUCGCUAGUAAUCGCGGAUCAGCACGCCGCGGUGAAUACGUUCCCGGGCCUU